rnacentral:misc_RNA from 1 species
GUUUUGAAUUUUGAUUCCCUCUCUAGCUGAAGUGUUGAAGUGUGUGCCAAUAGAGAAAAAAAUUUGAAUGGGUACCCAUAGAUUUGAGCUAGCUAGCCUUGGUAUUCCUCAUAAGUAUUUGGCUGUCGAGAUGAAUAAUAUAUUGAUGGUAUGACAUGACUGUGUGAAUUUACAAAAAAUUGUUUAGUGACUUCAAAAGUGAGAAAUUCUUUGCCUAAAAUUGUAAAUUGUAUUUUGCAUCUAUUUAAUGAUUUCA